UUAGGUUUAGCUUGUUUUUUAUGUGCAAUUUCAUCGAUAAUCAAUGUUAGUGUAAACUCGAUGAGUUUUUCUCUUUUGGAUGAGUUUUUAUUCUUCUUGUAGCUUGAUUUCAAUCCCUAGUUGAACGAGUUAGGGAUUUAGAAACAAGUCCUGAUUUUACAGCCAACUUUUAACAGAAAUAAGCCCAUUUCUUGUUCUUGCAUUUAGGCUUUCGUCUUCCUUAAUAUUUAUCAUUAUUUCUUAUUCUCUAGACGAUUCGGGAUGUUGAAUCAAUAUUGAGAUCUUAUUCUUCUUGUAGCUUGAUUUAAAUCCCGAGGAAAUUGUAAUCUUCUAUUUUUAUUAAGUUCUUGACAAUUUUGCAAUUUGUCAAUUAUUUUAAGUACUUGUGUCAUUUUGUGACUUGCUAUUGUUACGUUAUGUGACCUGCUACCAUGCUGGCUAUCCCUUGUAUGCUGCAUAGAUUGAUGGCUACCAUCACAAUAAGGAGGAAAAGCGUUACAAAAAAGAGAUAUGGGAAUUUAAUAAUCGAGAGUAUCUGGAGGAACAAGCUAUCAAGGAAGCAGCAAUAGCAGCUGAAAUGAAAAAAUUAGUUUGGCAAAAUCUAGAAAGGAAAUGAGGCAGAAACGAUCUCUAAAGGCAAAAAGUUUGGGUCCUUCUAGAUCUGCUGUAGAGGCAAUGAGCCGAGUGUUGAAAACAAAGGUAUUUAUUAGGAAAAAAGACAAAUUGAGACAAUUUGAUUAUGUUUAUUAAACUAAAUAAACAUUAUGAUGCCCACUCUUUUGUUUUGAUACAUUUUAUUUUUCAGUGAAGUGUCUUAAUAGUUUCUGAAACCUAUGAUCAUUAAUACUCAUUAUGAUCUCCUUAUAUGUAGUUUUACUAAUAGUAAUCUUUUUUAAUGUGUCUUAAUAGUUUCUGAAACCUAUGAUCAUUAUUUGAAUAGGUCUUUUUUAAUGUCUCCUAAUAGUUUCUGAAACCUAUGAUCAUUAUUUGAAUAGGUCUUGUUUGGCUAGUUCAAUUUUCAUGAGAUUUGGCUCAUGAAAUAUUCACUCAUAUUCCAUCUAUGACCCUAGUCUAAAUUAUGAAAUUCAAAGACGAUUAUAUGAACGAAUUUUCGAGUCAGGUAGUUAGGAUGGUUGUUUAUCAACCAAGUUCUUUUGAUCUGAAUAUUAUGAUUAGGAUUGGAUGCAAUGAUUUUGAUUAAGUUUAUCCUUUCUUGUUAAAAGGAUUGUUGUUCGUUAGGAUUUGCAUGGAUUGUGAUUUCAAAUAUUAUUGGUCUUUAUGUUUGCUAAUGAAUUCAUGAAGAAGUGAUUCAUUGUAUACACUGGGUCAAAAUGAAAUCUGAUGCACUUAUAUGUAAUCUAGGAAAUAUUUUUAUGCGAAAUUUGGUGCAUUUCACAUUAGAUCCAUGAAACAUACAUUUUACAUCAGACUAUUAUAGGAAAUAUUACAUCAGGCCAAAUACGAAACCGAUGUAAAAACAUAAAUUUUACAUCGGGCUAUCAUGGAAACCGAUGUAAACACUUACAUUUUACAUCGGGCUAUCAUGGAAACCGAUGUAAACACUUACAUUUUACAUCGGGCUAUUACAAACCCGAAGUUAAAUAUUGCAUAUAUAUUACUUUUAAAAAAAUAUUGGAUUUUGUUUCACAUAAGACGUAAUUAUAACCGAUGUGGUAUCAUGAUUUUUCACAUCGACUUGUUGCCCGAUGUAAAACGUCCUGGAUUUACUACAUCGCUUGGAUUUAUAUCGGACCCAAACCCGAUGUAAAAUGUACUUUUCGCCCGAUGUAAAAAGUGUUUUCUACACUAGUGAUAGGUGUUCUACACGUACAAUAGUAUUAUUAAAGAUUUUAUAGUCAGAGUCCUCUUUACAAUCUGUUUGGGAUGAACAAAAUAUGUGGCCAGCAACGAACGACUUGAUCUUCGGUGAUGGUUGAGAAAAAAAGGGUUGUACCUGCAAGAUACUCCGAUGCCAAAGUAAGAGAGAGAACAAAGGUACAACGUAGGUAUGAAGUUUUGCGCAAAGUUUGGAUUACCUUGCCCUCUAUUUAUAAUGUUCUCCUCGGUGUGGAUUGGGCCACACUAUAUUUAUGGGCUUGGGCGCAAUUCCAGGGCCCAAAAUAAUGGAGACCGUUGAAUAGGUCUUAGUUCAUUCGGGCAGGGGGGACUAUCCAUUGGCGAGAACGGUGAUCUAGUGUGCUUGGAUGAUUCUAAGUUAUUGGGGAGCCAACGUUAGUUAUGUUCGACGGAUAAUCAGAAGGGCAGAUUUGUCCUCAGCUUGCUCAAAGAAGUGGGCAAUGCUUACUGGGUCGCACAUGCUUAUGAGUGGAUUGGGCCAAUGGAUACAAUUGGGUUAGUCCAUAACACAAUAUUUGAGUGUGAGGUAUUUAAGAUAGUAAAUAUGACGUCUUCUCAACUUCGUCUCCAUAAGUGAACCUUCCUAAGGUCUUUUGAAAUUGCUUUCUAAGGCCUAGGCAUAUGAUCAAGACUUUAUAAGUUUAUCAGGAUACUAACUUCAAAUGCACAGCUAAUCAUUUAGUUUUGAAAGAUAUCGAACCCAUAAGGACUGAGGAUCAAUAUAGUACGAUCUUAUGUUAUAAAGUUAGCUAAAGCUAUCGGUUUCUUGGUUUUAGGGGGAAACAGGAGUUAAAUAUAAAUUUAAUUAAAUAAUCAGAUAUUAAGAUACCGGUAUGUAAUUGUCGAACUUUGGGGUUCAAUAAAUCAAUGGCAUAAUUUAAAGUAUAAAAACACUUUUCACAAUAAGUUAUUUGAAUUAAAAACUUUUACCUCACACUCUCAUGUUUAUUGACUUAGAUUACAGUGUCAGUUAUAAAGUUUUCUCUCGCUAAAUCAUUAAAAACUGAAGUAAUUUUUGAAAAUCAAAUAAAAUAUAAUUAACUUUAAAGCGCUCUCGUUAUAUUUAGAGUUAAUGUUUAGUGACUACUAUCUGGUAAAAACCUCAAACUCUCGUUGUGUUGAUUUUAGACCUUAGUUUGUAAUUUACUCUCGUAACAAAAUAAUUUGGUAUUAGUUUUAGAAAUCAAGACCAGGAAAACUUUUAAUUAGUUUUUAUGCCAAAUCGUUAUCGAACCCGUCGGUUCAGUGACCUUACAUACCAGUAUUAGAAAAUUAGCCAAACAUGCUUUUUAUUAUGAACAUCCAGAAUAGACAAUAUGGAAACAAUGAUAUCAACAUAGAAAUCAAAUUAUAAGACAAAUUAGGCAUAUAAAUAAGAACCUAGAAAUUAUAUGAAUAAAUUGAAAUAUCUUCAAGUACCAAGUGCUUCAAUAGUACAAACGAUGUUCUUCACGUACAAAUUUGAUUCCGAAAAUAGAAACUAAAUCUAAGGUGCAAUAAUUCCUCAAUGCAAGGAAUUAUCGCUAUGGAAAGUGACAUAAAAUGGCUAAGAACAAGGGUUGCAAAGAGAAAGGUAAUAACAGGAAAGUAUAAACUUGCAGAGAAAAUAAAUAAAAUCCAAUUGACGGCAGGAAGAGAGAGUCUUCAAUGAAUAACUGAAUCCCUUAUAUAAUGUGACUGCACGACCUCAAUCUCCCUAGAAUCUAAGGAGUCUCACUUGAAUCGUGUGAGAAUUCGUCAAACUGGGCUUCUCUUUAAUCGUUCGUGGGCUUCUUCUGGUUUAAGUAAUAUAAGGCAUGUGUCGUUCGUCAUGUGUGUGUGUCGUGGGGCACACUUUUCGUCUGUGUCGGUCGGGGUAGGGGGUUGUGUCAGGCGACACCAUGCCCUAUUUAGCAGAAUUAUGCAAACAUUUCUGCUAUUUAGCAAAAGUGUACAUCUUUGGUCAUUUUUCUUCCAUUUCUCCAUGCAAGCUUGGAUAAUUUGCAAACACCUGAAAACAUAGCAAAAAUAACAGAGUGAAACAAUAUAAUCAUUUAAAACGGUAAAUAAAUCCAUGUAAACCAAGUCCAAUACGCGAAACAUUUUCGUGUUAUCAGCAUAGAAAUUAUUGUAGAUGUUUUUAUUUUAUUUUAAUUGUACAACAGAGACCAUUUUCACUCAUAUCAAUCCUCCAACAAUUAUUU